GACGAACGCUGGCGGCGUGCUUAACACAUGCAAGUCGAACGAUGAAGCCGGAGCUUGCUCUGGUGAAUUAGUGGCGAACGGGUGAGUAACACGUGAGUAACCUGCCCUUGACUCUGGGAUAACUGCGGGAAACUGUAGCUAAUACCGGAUACGACCCUCGGAGGCAUCUCCUAGGGGGUGGAAAGAAUUUCGGUCAAGGAUGGACUCGCGGCCUAUCAGCUAGUUGGUGAGGUAAAGGCUCACCAAGGCGACGACGGGUAGCCGGCCUGAGAGGGUGACCGGCCACACUGGGACUGAGACACGGCCCAGACUCCUACGGGAGGCAGCAGUGGGGAAUAUUGCACAAUGGGCGCAAGCCUGAUGCAGCAACGCCGCGUGAGGGAUGACGGCCUUCGGGUUGUAAACCUCUUUUAGCAGGGAAGAAGCGAAAGUGACGGUACCUGCAGAAAAAGCACCGGCUAACUACGUGCCAGCCGCCGCAGUAA
rnacentral:rRNA from 1 species